GUGCUCGCUUCCACAGCACAUAUACUAAAAUUGGACUGAUACAGAGAUUUAGCAUGGUCCCUGACCAAGGAUAACAUGCACAUUCAUGAAGCAUUCUAUUAAAAA
rnacentral:snRNA from 1 species